AGCUCCAAUAGCGUAUAUUAAAGUUGUUGCAGUUAAAAAGCUCGUAGUUGGAUUUCUGGUAGGAGCGGCCGGUCCGCCCCGUAAUGGGGUGUGCACUAGAGCCGCCUCCGGCCAUCCUUGGGGGAACUGCCAUGGCCUUAAUUGGUUGUGGUAUGGAACCCAUCGUUUACUGUGAAAAAAUUAGAGUGUUUAAAGCAGGCUUAGGCCGUUGAAUACAUUAGCAUGGAAUAAUAAGAUAGGACCUUAUGGACCUCUUGUUGGUUUGCGCCGUAAGGUAAUGAUUAAUAGGGAUAGUUGGGGGUAUUCGUAUUUAAUUGUCAGAGGUGAAAUUCUUGGAUUUAUGAAAGACGAACUUCUGCGAAAGCAUUUACCAAGGAUGUUUUCAUUAAUCAAGAACGAA
rnacentral:rRNA from 1 species